UGUGUAGGCUGCUACGCAAGUCGGAUGUGAAAUCCCCGGGCUCAACCCGGGAAGUGCACCCGAAACUGCGUGGCUUGAGUACCGGAGAGGUUGGUGGAAUUCUCGGUGUAGAGGUGAAAUUCGUAGAUAUCGAGAGGAACACCGGUGGCGAAGGCGGCCAACUGGACGAGUACUGACGCUGAGACACGAAAGCGUGGGGAGCAAACAGGAUUAGAUACCCUGGUAGUCCACGCCGUAAACGAUGGGUGCUAGGUGUCACGGGCUUUGACUCCUGUGGUGCCGUAGCCAACGCAUUAAGCACCCCGCCUGGGAAGUACGGCCGCAAGGCUAAA
rnacentral:rRNA from 1 species